rnacentral:piRNA from 1 species
UCAACUCUAGAACUCUGCUGUUUCCC